rnacentral:rRNA from 1 species
AUACGAAGGUGGCAAGCGUUGUUCGGAAUCACUGGGCUUAAAGCGCACGCAGGCGGAACAGAAAGUGUCUUGUGAAAGCCCCCGGCUUAACCGGGGAAUUGCUUGGCAAACUUCUGUUCUUGAGGCAAGUAGAGGUACAUGGAACUCUUGGUGGAGCGGUGGAAUGCGUAGAUAUCAAGAGGAACGCCAAUGGUGAAGACAGUGUACUGGGCUUGUCCUGACGCUGAGGUGCGAAAGCGUGGGGAGCGAACGGGAUUAGAUACCCCGGUAGUCC